rnacentral:rRNA from 1 species
GAACCGGUUUCGGCCGGGGAUUAGUGGCGAACGGGUGAGUAACACGUGGGCAAUCUGCCCUGCACUCUGGGACAAGCCCUGGAAACGGGGUCUAAUACCGGAUAUGACAUGGGAUCGCAUGGUCUCGUGUGGAAAGCUCCGGCGGUGCAGGAUGAGCCCGCGGCCUAUCAGCUUGUUGGUGGGGUGAUGGCCUACCAAGGCGACGACGGGUAGCCGGCCUGAGAGGGCGACCGGCCACACUGGGACUGAGACACGGCCCAGACUCCUACGGGAGGCAGCAGUGGGGAAUAUUGCACAAUGGGCGGAAGCCUGAUGCAGCGACGCCGCGUGAGGGAUGACGGCCUUCGGGUUGUAAACCUCUUUCAGCAGGGAAGAAGCGUAAGUGACGGUACCUGCAGAAGAAGCACCGGCUAACUACGUGCCAGCAGCCGCGGUAAUACGUAGGGUGCGAGCGUUGUCCGGAAUUAUUGGGCGUAAAGAGCUCGUAGGCGGCUUGUCACGUCGGAUGUGAAAGCCCGGGGCUUAACCCCGGGUCUGCAUUCGAUACGGGCAGGCUAGAGUUCGGUAGGGGAGAUCGGAAUUCCUGGUGUAGCGGUGAAAUGCGCAGAUAUCAGGAGGAACACCGGUGGCGAAGGCGGAUCUCUGGGCCGAUACUGACGCUGAGGAGCG